UAAGGAAUAUUGGUCAAUGGACGCAAGUCUGAACCAGCCAUGCCGCGUGGAGGAUUAAGGCCCUCUGGGUUGUAAACUCCUUUUAUCUGGGAAGAAAUGUACUUUUUCUUGAGUACUUGACGGUACCAGAGGAAUAAGCACCGGCUAACUCCGUGCCAGCAGCCGCGGUAAUACGGAGGGUGCAAGCGUUAUCCGGAUUCACUGGGUUUAAAGGGUGCGUAGGUGGGCAGGUAAGUCAGUGGUGAAAUCUCCGGGCUUAACCCGGAAACUGCCGUUGAUACUAUUUGUCUUGAAUAUUGAGGAGGUAAGCGGAAUAUGUCAUGUAGCGGUGAAAUGCUUAGAUAUGACAUAGAACACCAAUUGCGAAGGCAGCUUACUACACAAUCAUUGACGCUGAGGCACGAAAGCGUGGGGAUCAAACA
rnacentral:rRNA from 1 species